rnacentral:rRNA from 2 species
UGUCUGUUGUUUUUUAUAAUAGAUAAUUUCUGCUCAGUGUGAGGUGUAAACAGCCGCGGUAUCUUGACCGUGCAAAGGUAGCAUAAUCACUUGUUCUUUAAUUGGGGACUGGAAUGAAAGAAAGUUUGAAGUUUUUUCUGUCUCUUUUUUGUGUGUGGAAUUUGUUGUUUUUGUGAAGAAACAAAAAUUUUAAAAAAAGACAAGAAGACCCUAUUAAGCUUUACUUUUAAGUAUUUUCUUUUUUAUUUUGUGUUAAAAUUUAAAAGCUUUUAAAAAAAGUUUGGUUGGGGUGACUGAAAAGGAGUAAAAUCCUCUUUUUGUUUGUUGAACGUAAAGUUAAAUAAUGACCCAAGAUUUUUUGGUUAAUAGAAUUAGUUACUAUAGGGAUAACAGCGUAAUCUUUUUUUAGAGUCCUUAUUGAAAAAAAGGUUUGCGACCUCGAUGUUGACUUGUUGUAUCCUUUAAAGGCGAAGAAGCUGUUAGGGUUAGUCUGUUCGACUAUUAAAAUAAC